AAUUAGUGAAAUGGGGUAAGUGGUGUCUGUCUUAUUAGCAAAAUAUUAAAAGUUUUUAAAAUUAUAAUUAUUGACAAGGUAGUGAUGAGAUGCUCAUUCUUAACACAAGGAGUUAAAUGGACUCAGCCUUUCUGAAAGCCAGUUGGCAAGUUGCCACAGGAUAGUUAAGAUAUUUAUAUUCUUCAUCCUUAAGUUAUAUUUCUGUUUUAAGAUACUCACCAAAAAUAGAGAUGUGUGUGCAUAGAAGUUCCUGACAGU
rnacentral:lncRNA from 1 species